CGCCUGGUCUUCUGGAGCCGAGGACUCGGGAAACCCGUGCAGUUGAGGCAAGCCUCGGGCUACUUCAGAGGCGCUGACAUCCGAGGAGCCCUCUCCUGG
ensembl:misc_RNA